GGCAGAAGAGGGAAAUGAAAAUAAUGACAAAGCCAAAAAAAUGACACCAUUUCUUUAAUUCAGGCACAGUCGGGAGUGCCUGUUCUUCCCUCUUCUUUUUUUUUUUAAGCUUGAGGAAAUCAUCAUGAUGAUUGUAGCUGAUGUACGCUGGCAAAACAUUUAAGUAGACGUGUGCCUGAAAGCAUGAAUCACAUCUAUUUUCUUAUUAUUUUAGGAAAUACGUUGUACUGAUUAUGGCUUUUUCAUCUGAAAAUGCAAAAAACCUGUCGCGAACUCCUCAUCCCUGUGGGGCAGGUAGAGACUGUGUGCCGGAUGGGCAAAAGGAGGUGGCAAGUUUGGGCAGCUUUUCCAGUGGGAUGCAAGGAGCGACAAAGAAAGGUUUUCUGGAGAGGUCUGGACUCACAACUAAAUCAGAGAGGGCUCAGGCACCAACGCAGCUUCCCACCACCCCAGAGCUGAGCCCCCUCCCUUCAUUUAUGCCAUUCAAACCCUGCUCUGCUCUCGCCACUGAGCAUUUUUUGGAGGACCCCAGGCUCCAGCAGGGCCCCGAGGCAGGACACCCACCCACGAACCAGCCAGGGGUGCUUUGGGAGGGUAGGUUGCUUUCUGUGGGUAGAAAUGUUUAUUUUAUUAUUCUUUUAAUUCCUCCAUGCUGCGUUCCUGCCUCAUCAAAACGCAUUAGCAAACUAAAUCUUUGUCAGUGAGGGAGGUCUCGCUUCCUUUCACGGAUAACAAUUCUUUAAGUCUGUGGGAAGAUUAAAAGUGCAGUACUAAGUAAAAAAUCAUACAGCUGGGGAAGGCAAAUGCCCGUAACUGUGUUCAUUAACAAUAUUGUAUAUCAUCUAAAUGAAAGAAAGUUUAAAGGCUUAAUGAUUUCCUUCUCACCGAUACACACUGUUCGGUGCCAGCUCAGACAACGAAGAAAGACUAACCUGUUUUACCUCUGCCCUGCUUUGAUGGUUGUUUUGCAAACACUUCAGGAAAGUGUUCAAAUUCCCAUAAAAUUGAUUUUCAGUGGAAGUUGAAGGGGAAAAAAAAUAUUUUCUAUUGAGUGAUUUUUACAAUAAGAUUAACUUCACAAGACCUCAACUUUGGCCCUAGCUGGCCUUGACAAUGCCUCCCUUUUAAGAAGGUGAUGCAGCUAUCUAUAAUUAGCCACGGCUAGUUAAUAACUCAUCUGUUAAUGUCUGGACCCACAAAUGGAAGGUUUCAAUGUACAAGGAACCAAGGAUAAGCCAAC
rnacentral:lncRNA from 1 species